rnacentral:rRNA from 1 species
UUUAUGGAGAGUUUGAUCCUGGCUCAGGAUGAACGCUGGCGGCGUGCCUAAUACAUGCAAGUCGAGCGAACGGACGAGAAGCUUGCUUCUCUGAUGUUAGCGGCGGACGGGUGAGUAACACGUGGAUAACCUACCUAUAAGACUGGGAUAACUUCGGGAAACCGGAGCUAAUACCGGAUAAUAUUUUGAACCGCAUGGUUCAAAAGUGAAAGACGGUCUUACUGUCACUUAUAGAUGGAUCCGCGCUGCAUUAGCUAGUUGGUAAGGUAACGGCUUACCAAGGCAACGAUGCAUAGCCGACCUGAGAGGGUGAUCGGCCACACUGGAACUGAGACACGGUCCAGACUCCUACGGGAGGCAGCAGUAGGGAAUCUUCCGCAAUGGGCGAAAGCCUGACGGAGCAACGCCGCGUGAGUGAUGAAGGUCUUCGGAUCGUAAAACUCUGUUAUUAGGGAAGAACAUAUGUGUAAGUAACUGUGCACAUCUUGACGGUACCUAAUCAGAAAGCCACGGCUAACUACGUGCCAGCAGCCGCGGUAAUACGUAGGUGGCAAGCGUUAUCCGGAAUUAU